GAUGCUCUUUCUAACUCUAAGUUGAUAUCAUGAGACAAAUAAGUCAUGAUCUCAUGAAAACCAGGCAGAAACCAAUAAUAAUGCACAGCCUCUCUGGGCUUCAGUCAUUAUUUUUGCAAAAUUCUGCUUUGGUGCCACUAUGGAUUUAAAAUCUCUGUACUAUUCUAGGACGUGGUCUUUUGUCUCAUGAAAUCAGCGCGACAUAUUUCCACACAGGAUUUCUCACAGCUUCAGUUCCAUGCUGAAAAUCAGUGGACAUGCCAAUUGACUCCAGCUGAAUCGCUGCCCAUUCAUUUAGCUCUGAUUCAAGAGGCUUCUAGCUUUUUUCCUCACAGUUUUGAGUCUGCCUUCUGCUCGCAUAUUCUUUUUGCCUGCGAUGACAUCAGAUGUGUGCAGCAACUGAGAGAGAAUCCUGGCUGUGAAUUACAAGGUGGUGUGAUUACGAAGGUAGAGGAGGCCAAAAUAAAGAAUAAAAGAGCUACAGAAUUGUUAUAAUUCUAAUACAUCAGAAAUUUUGGUGCAUGUGUUAUUUAGGGCCAUGAUGAAGAAAAUGUAAUUUGAUUGCAUUUUAAAUAAUUGUUGAAGUUUUAUGUAUUAAUUUGAUUACCACCAUUUUUUAUGAUAUCAUUAAACACAGAAUCCAGGAAAAAAUAAUACAGACAACAACACGGUUGUCCAUUUCAUAAAAAAGAACAUUGCACAUGACACUAUUGUUGUUAACGUUGUAAUAAAUUAUUACAAUAAAUUAUAUUAAAUAUGUUUCAUGAAUUCAAAUGAUUAGCAAAUUUGAAAAUUAAAUCUGAAAUGAUCUGAAAAUCACAUUAAAAUGAUUUUGAUGUGUAAUGAACAGAUGAACAAUUCAGAUCUCAUCCGCAUAAUCUUUAAUUUGGCCUCAAAAAAUAAUAUAACUGAUUGGCAAAUGAAAAAAAAAAAUUUUUUUAAUUAAAGCUACUCAACACGGUUUCUCUGAAAGAUCAAGCUGAUUGUGGUCCUGAAAACACAUCAGUUCUGUUUUCCAAGCAAUACGAAGACUUGUUCUGAAUGCUUUUCGUAGAAAGCUGAAAUGUUUCUAACACACGUUGUUUCCUCUUUCAGAUCUUCAUUCGCUGCCUUUCGUCAGCGAGCCGCCAGAAGGCCGAUAGCCAAACGCUAACAUUUGAUUGAAUUAUCCCUCAACAUGAUGUGGCAGUAAACUGUUAUUCCUCCAUCUUACCAGCCCUCUGCUGUCUCGCCCCUGAGCGACGACUUUCAUCCUCUCUCAUAUCUCUGCUGUCAUAGACAUACUGGCACUCGUCUGCCGCCGCGAUGGCUUCGGCCUUUUGCUCAUUUAAGGCUCUGUAUUCCCGACAGGCUGUCUGAUUCCUGAGGGGAGGCCUGUGGAGGACGCUCUGUUAAAUGUACGGCCGUAUAUAAAUAUAUAUGAACGUGCGGUUCUCUCAGAUUGAAAACAUAUACCUGCGACGAUUGCCUGCUAUGAAGUUCAUUCCAGCGGUAAUGCUGUUUUUCCCCCCAUCUCGUCAGCUCCUUCAAAGAACGCAUCCUAUUUUUCCUAUUUUAAGGCAUGAGAGAUAUAUGGAAAGGAACAGGGUAAAUAUUUGAGAGUAUCGCAGCCUCAUUUCUUGGAUUAAUUCAGUUGGUUUUCUUCGACUGGCUUCUCCACUGGAAAAUCCAUUCUAGUCCAAGCAACUCGAGGAGAGAAUGCUUUCUCACUCAUGUUUAGGUUGCAAAUGCAUUUUAGGAAUUGAGAACAAUGCACGCUGCUUGUUCAACAUGAUUUCUGCGACGAUGAGUUGCAAUGAGAAAUAUAUUAUCAGGACCCAUGCAGGCAUGUCCGAGUUCAGAAAACAGCUGUAACACUAACAAAAACAACCAUCAAAAUGCACCAAAAGCUCAUUUAUGAAAAUCCCACAAGCUGCUUAAACUACAAGAUCUUCAUUCCCCUUGUGUCAUCAGCGAGUCGCCAGGAGGCCGCUACACAACCGCUAACGUUUGAUUGAACAGCUAUAACAUCCAUCCAUAACCAUCAGACAUCAGGCUUGUGUCUGCAACAAAAGUUGUAUAAUGACGAAAAUCCCUCAAGCAUCUUACUCUACAAGGCUGCAGGUGUUCCCUGACCAUCAGUGUGUGUGAAGUGACCUGUGGGUGUGUUUUUGCUGUGCCGAGUGUCCUGCAGCAUUUCCAUCAGGCCGGCAAUGAGAGGACCAUGUCACUACAAGCUCCUCAAUCUACGGCUGUUACAGAAAUCAAUACUGCCUGACACACACACACACACACACACACACACAUUCAGGAGAACAUCUCUAUUGCUCUACAAAUAUAAAGAUGUCUACAGAAGUCAAAACAUUAACAAUUAUCUUAAUUUGAGCUUUAGGUUUAAUUAAAAAUGAACGAUAUUCCUUGGCAUCUAUUGUUUUUUAUGUACAGCUAGUUAUAAAUACAGUAACGUAACCCCAUCAGAAAACCUUCUGCAGGUUUACUUUUUUUGUUUUUUUUCCAAUCAUUGAUUUUGUAGCUCAAUUCUGGGUACAGAUUUAUUGUCAAAGUAUGGUUAAGUAGGUACUUACACACACAUACAAACAGAUCAGUGGUAAGUAGUCACUUAUGUGUAUAAUAGUUUCGCAUAUAAUGCAUUUUUGUAAUUAAAGUUUUUAUUUUACUCAAGCUUAUAGACUGAUACUACAGCGGAUUUCGCGCUUCUCAAUUCAGCCAAUCAGUGUGUAGAUUACGUGGCCAUCUGAUCACAUGAUCAUUCGGUAAGAGUUCCUCAGAGUCCACGGCUGCAUCACACUUUAAAUACAAUGUGAAGUAAGAAUUAAUGCAUUCCAAGCCAUAAUAUGUUUAAAACAGUAUGCUGCUAAAAUAAUAGGCUACAUCUGAAAUGAAAGUAAUUAUAAAAAUAAAAUAAUUAUUCACUUUAGCGAUAUUUAUUUUACAUUUAU